UACGUAGGGUGCAAGCGUUGUCCGGAAUUAUUGGGCGUAAAGAGCUCGUAGGCGGUUCGUCGCGUCGGCUGUGAAAACCUGAGGCUCAACCUCAGGCCUGCAGUCGAUACGGGCGGACUUGAGUACUGCAGGGGAGACUGGAAUUCCUGGUGUAGCGGUGAAAUGCGCAGAUAUCGGGAAGAACACCCGUGGCUAAGGCGGCUCUCUGGGACGGUACUGACGCUGAGACGCGAAAGCGUGGGGAGCGAACAGGA
rnacentral:rRNA from 1 species